GACGAACGCUGGCGGCGUGCCUAAUACAUGCAAGUCGAACGAAGUGGCGAACGGUUGAGUAAUACGUGAGUAACCUGCCCUCCUUUUUGGGAUAAGCCUUGGAAACGCGGUCUAAUACCUGAUAAAGGGGGAUGGGCUCGCGGCCUAUUGGCCUGUUGGUGGGGUGAUGGCGUACCAAGGAGGGGACGGGUAGCCGGCCUGAGAGGGUGACCGGCGACAUAGGGACUGCGAUACGGCCCAGACGCCGACGGGAGGCAGCAGUGUGGGAUAUUGCACAAUGGGCGAAAGCCUAAUGCAGCGACACCGCGUGGGGGAUGAAGGCUUUCGGGUUGUAAACCUCUAUCGCUAUCAGACGGGUAGGUAAAGAAGAAGCGCCGGCUAACUACGUGCCAGCAGCCGCGGUAAUUC
rnacentral:rRNA from 1 species